AUUUUCUAUCCAGACCUGCUCAAAAAUAUCAGAGCUCUAAGCUUAGCUACUUGUAAUGAUUCAAGGGAAAAAAUGCAAACCUUUUUCAGUAAAGCAUGAUUGAAAUUCCCCUUUAAUUCUGUAAGUGAGAUUUAGGGGCAGUUCAAGCAGAUUGGAAAUAGAUGAGAGAAUACUUUCACAGUACCCGUUUCUCUGCAAGAAGAAUUGUUGCCAGCCCCAGCAGAGUAAUGCAGAACUAUGGGGAAUCCAGCACCCAUUUCUUUUGAUGAGAUCACUAGAAACUACGGAAGCAAAGUUCACCUUCAGGCAUUGAAGACAAAGUGGUUCUUCUGCAAAUAUGGGAUAUCUAUUGAAUUCACAGCUCUCCCUCCAGACUUCUACUGGUUUUGGUGAGGGGUAAUGGGAAUUCUUGAACAGAAAUUCAAUAGAAUGGAAAUGCAGAGCUUCACUUGUCAUGCUUCUAAUUUUAUGGAUCUAUGCCCUGAUUCAAUCUGCCAUUCUGAACAUCUGGUGUGUCUUGAAAAGAAGAUUCUUUCACAUGGAGUCUCGUUCCUGAUUUCCUCAGCUAUUAUUUAUUAUACUGGUUGGGCUUUAGAAGGGAUUGCUGAACCAGUGUGGAUAAUCUAAAAAAUAAACUUAAUCUAAAACUAAUGCAAACUGCACAGCAUAGGAGAUUUAGAAAAGCCUACUUAACAGUCAAGUAAAACCCUUUCAUUUAUCUUGGUACUUCCGAAUCUGAACAGAUACUGGACCACGAGUCAAAAAUUAAAAGAGUGCUUUCCAAGUGACCAGAAGGCAGAGAUUCUGCACACAAGCCUGCUUGCAGAAUAUGGCCAGAGCAACACCGAGGGGAUUCUUGGAGCUCUGGCUAGAAGAAAGCAUCCAAGCAUUGAAAGUGUCUGAAGAUACUUUUGAAUUUGGAUUCUAUAAAGGCUGGGGAGUGCUGAGAGCUCAGUAGCAACCUAAACUCAUUUUGAGAUGCUACCUGCAGAAGCAAAUAGGAGAGAGCAAGAUCUUGAAGAUAAGUAUGGAAUGGGUAAUUAUGUGGAAUUCCCACUGCUUUUAAUCAUAAUUUUCUGAUUUAUAGAAGUGAUAUAUCUUGUUCAACCAUUGUAAAAUAGUCUGUAUUACAGCACAGAAUAUUACACCAUGAACACAUUCUGGUGGGGUUACAAGCAACUGCAGCCAAAUAUUCCGUGUUGCCAGCUUCAUUUAAUUCUAAAGAACAUCCUUAGGUUUGAGAACAAUACACUGAUCAAAUCCUAUCUGCUAACAAUAUACUGACUGUCCUGGUGGAAUUUAGGAAUACACUGCUAAGUAUGUAUCUGCUGGCUUGCAUGAAAUAACGUAUAAAACAAUACUAAAAAUUGCUGACAAAGUUGUAUGGGAUUAUAUCAAAGCUACCAAAAUAAACCAGUGUGAU
rnacentral:lncRNA from 7 species